rnacentral:sRNA from 1 species
UCCAUAACCUUUUGAAAUGUAGCCGGAGA